rnacentral:rRNA from 1 species
ACGCUGGCGGCAGGCUUAACACAUGCAAGUUGAACGGUAACAGGGAUUAGCUUGCUAAUCUGCUGACGAGUGGCGGACGGGUGAGUAAUGCUUGGGAAUCUGGCUUAUGGAGGGGGAUAACUACGGGAAACUGUAGCUAAUACCGCGUAAAAUCUUCGGAUUAAAGGGUGGGACUUUCGAGCCACCUGCCAUAAGAUGAGCCCAAGUGGGAUUAGGUAGUUGGUUAGGUAAAGGCUGACCAAGCCGACGAUCUCUAGCUGGUCUGAGAGGAUGACCAGCCACACUGGAACUGAGACACGGUCCAGACUCCUACGGGAGGCAGCAGUGGGGAAUAUUGCACAAUGGGGGGAACCCUGAUGCAGCCAUGCCGCGUGAAUGAAGAAGGCCUUCGGGUUGUAAAGUUCUUUCAGUGACGAGGAAGGUUGAUAGGUUAAUAGCCUAUCAAAUUGACGUUAAUCACAGAAGAAGCACCGGCUAACUCCGUGCCAGCAGCCGCGGUAAUACGGGGGGUGCGAGCGUUAAUCGGAAUAACUGGGCGUAAAGGGCACGCAGGCGGUGACUUAAGUGAGAUGUGAAAGCCCCGAGCUUAACUUGGGAAUUGCAUUUCAUACUGGGUCGCUAGAGUACUUUAGGGAGGGGUAGAAUUCCACGUGUAGCGGUGAAAUGCGUAGAGAUGUGGAGGAAUACCGAAGGCGAAGGCAGCCCCUUGGGAAUGUACUGACGCUCAUGUGCGAAAGCGUGGGGAGCAAACAGGAUUAGAUACCCUGGUAGUCCACGCUGUAAACGAUGUCGAUUUGGGGAUUGGGCUUUGAGCUUGGUGCCCGUAGCUAACGUGAUAAAUCGACCGCCUGGGGAGUACGGCCGCAAGGUUAAAACUCAAAUGAAUUGACGGGGGCCCGCACAAGCGG